AGUCGAGCGGACAGAUGGGAGCUUGCUCCCUGAUGUUAGCGGCGGACGGGUGAGUAACACGUGGGUAACCUGCCUGUAAGACUGGGAUAACUCCGGGAAACCGGGGCUAAUACCGGAUGGUUGUCUGAACCGCAUGGUUCAGACAUAAAAGGUGGCUUCGGCUACCACUUACAGAUGGACCCGCGGCGCAUUAGCUAGUUGGUGAGGUAACGGCUCACCAAGGCGACGAUGCGUAGCCGACCUGAGAGGGUGAUCGGCCACACUGGGACUGAGACACGGCCCAGACUCCUACGGGAGGCAGCAGUAGGGAAUCUUCCGCAAUGGACGAAAGUCUGACGGAGCAACGCCGCGUGAGUGAUGAAGGUUUUCGGAUCGUAAAGCUCUGUUGUUAGGGAAGAACAAGUGCCGUUCAAAUAGGGCGGCACCUUGACGGUACCUAACCAGAAAGCCACGGCUAACUACGUGCCAGCAGCCGCGGUAAUACGUAGGUGGCAAGCGUUGUCCGGAAUUAUUGGGCGUAAAGGGCUCGCAGGCGGUUUCUUAAGUCUGAUGUGAAAGCCCCCGGCUCAACCGGGGAGGGUCAUUGGAAACUGGGGAACUUGAGUGCAGAAGAGGAGAGUGGAAUUCCACGUGUAGCGGUGAAAUGCGUAGAGAUGUGGAGGAACACCAGUGGCGAAGGCGACUCUCUGGUCUGUAACUGACGCUGAGGAGCGAAAGCGUGGGGAGCGAACAGGAUUAGAUACCCUGGUAGUCCACGCCGUAAACGAUGAGUGCUAAGUGUUAGGGGGUUUCCGCC
rnacentral:rRNA from 1 species